rnacentral:ncRNA from 1 species
ACUUCAGGGCAGGGUGAAAAUCCCUACUGGCGGUGAAGGAGCCCGUAAACUCCAAGUCCGCGAGCCUUUCGUGGCCGAAUCGGUGCAAAUCCGAUACCAACGGUACAGUCCGGAUGAAAGAAGGAG